AGAUGUGAAGAUAUCAAUUAUUCUAAAAAAAAUGUAGAAAUUUAAUUGAAAUAGUAAAGUUAACGUGGAAAGAUUAUAAAACACAAAAAAAAACUAAGGCUAAGGCAAAAAUUCUUGCCAUAAGCGAUAAUGAAAAUGCGUCAUCAUUAUCGUCAUCGUCAUCACAGUCUCAGGUACAUCCAACAUCUUCACAUACAUCAACUUUUUUUAAUAAUUCAAACACAUCAUAUUGUUCAGGUCCUUCGACUUCAUUUCAUAAUCACAACACAUCUUAUAAUAAUUUACAAAAUUUCAACUCCACAUCACCAAAUUCAUAUUUACAUGCUUCAUCCUCUGUUUCCAUCUCUGCUCCGCUUUCUUCACCAUUACAUAAUAUCAAACAAAACACAACUAUUUCAUCGGCAGCCUUUUCACAUACACCAAUUUAUAAAUUACCAGUUUAUAAAUCAAACGACAAUAUAACAACAUUUUUUGGAGAAUUUGAUCACACAAAAUCAAAUAUUCAAAAUAAACCAAUUGAUACAAACAUUAAAGAAAAUAAAAUACAAUUAAAUCGACCAAACGAAAACAACAGAUUCGGAUUCAUCAGAUUCAUCAGAUUCAUUUUCACAAGACUCAUCAUCAUCAGACAAUUCACAUCACUCAUCUUCACACAAUUCACAUUCUAAAACUUCACAAAAAGAUGAAGGAACUGAUAUUGGAAGUGGAAUAUUUGCCAGUCUUCCAAAUGGAGUAAUCACCAAAAGAGAUAUAUAUUUCCAAGAACAAUUAUUAUUAAUAGUGAAAAAAGCUUACCAGAAUCAAAAGAAA